CGAACGCUGGCGGCAGGCCUAACACAUGCAAGUCGAACGAUAAGCCACCUUCGGGUGGUGGACAGUGGCAGACGGGUGAGUAACGCGUGGGAACGUGCCUUUCGGUUCGGAAUAACCCAGGGAAACUUGGGCUAAUACCGGAUACGCCCUUCGGGGGAAAGAUUCAUUGCCGAAAGAUCGGCCCGCGUCGGAUUAGCUAGUUGGUGAGGUAAUGGCUCACCAAGGCGACGAUCCGUAGCUGGUCUGAGAGGAUGACCAGCCACACUGGGACUGAGACACGGCCCAGACUCCUACGGGAGGCAGCAGUGGGGAAUAUUGGACAAUGGGCGCAAGCCUGAUCCAGCCAUGCCGCGUGGGUGAAGAAGGCCUUAGGGUUGUAAACCCCUUUCAGCGGGGAAGAUAAUGACGGUACCCGCAGAAGAAGUCCCGGCUAACUCCGU
rnacentral:rRNA from 1 species